GGGGGGGGGGCAAAAUCGUCUUUCUCUGUUGCUUUCGAUUGGUAUUCAAACUAAUUUAGCUAUUUUGUUUUCGAGUUGUUUCGUGUUUUUGAUGACUUGGAUUUUACUGUUUGAUCAAGAUUCAUUUGGAGAGGAAUUUAAAAGUAUAUUUAUAAAAAAAACUUGUUCUAAAAAAAUAAAUGAUUUUUUUUACAAAAAUUAAAAAUUAAAAAUUUUAAAUUCCUCUUUUCAAUAAUCCUAAAAACAUAUAAAUAAAUUUUGAUAUCUUGAUCGAGCAGUAAAGACGAAAAAACUCGUAAAUUAAAACAGUUAAAUUAGCUUGAUUUAGCUAUUGAAAACUGGGAUUUAGUUCUAUAUUUAUGGAUGACCAUAAAAAGUGCACGUGCUUUCAAUCAUGUGUUUGUCAAAUGUCCGAAAAGACCCUUGUCCUUCUUCUGUAUUGUCUAGUUACCGUGAGAAUUGUGUGUGAUGUUUCUACAAUCUAUUUGAGCUAACUACCUAUUUUAGUUUUGUGUUUUGGCUAAAGCUCCAAGUAUAAUGAUGUGUUUGGAUUGGGUUGGAUUAGUGAGGGUGAAAAGAAAGUAAUGAGAAAAUAUGACGAAAAAAAUAUAGGGGAAGAUGAUUUGUUUUUCCUUUUCUUUUUUGGGUUUGAUAAAUGAAAAGCAAACUGAUAUAUUUUUUCAAAAAAAAAAAAUUCAUUCUUCAUUUAUAAUUAUAAAGAUUAAGUACGAUCUAAUAGUUCUGAACUAUUGUAUCGUCUAAUUUUUUUUUUAUUUAUUUAUUAUCUUCACUAAAUUUUUAAUUGUAUUUAACCUAUAUAAAUCGAGUUUGAAUCACAAAUAUUUUGAAGGAAGGGUCAUCAAUGGGUCGGGUCGAGACGACUCAGCCCGUUUUAGUUUGGCUGAGCUCGAUGGUUUUUAACUAGUCAACAUGUCAGACUUGGGUCGGUCUAUGGGCAGAGCCAAGCUCUGUCCACGAGCAUAAGGAAAAUGGACUGAGUCGUAGUCCUCCUGAUCCUCCUCUUCUUCUUCUACUCUUCCGCCCUAGUCCUCCUGAUCCUCCUCCGCACCGACGCGGCUCCUGCGAACAGCAGCAGCUGCGGCGACGCCGAUGAGUGCGUAGCGAAGGAAUUCGACGAGUUCCUGAUGGAAUCGGAGGUGAGUAGGCGAAUUCUCGCUGGUAAUCAGCCCCAUUUGUCUUACGGAGCUCUCGAGAAGGGGAAGGUUUGCAACGCGGUGAUCUACGGCGAUUGCGUCGGGAAAGCCAACCUAGACAAUCGGCCUUGUACACUAUACACCCGAUGCAAGCGACGCCCUGGUUUUUUUUUGGAAUCGGGGGGCAAAAUCGUCUUUCUCUGUUGCUUUCGAUUGGUAUUCAAACUAUUAUCUAUUUUGAUUUUCGAGUUUGAUUCGUGUUUUCGAUGAACUUGGAUUUUACUGUUUGAUCAAGAUUUAUUUAGAGAGGAAUUUAAAAGUAUAUUUAUAAAAAAAAAUGUUCUAAAAAAAUAAAUGAUUUUUUUUUUCAAAAACUAAAAAUUAAAAUUUUUAGAUUCCUCUUUCCAAUAAUCUUAAAAAAUAUAAAUAAAUUUUGAUCGAGCAGUAAAGACGAAAAAACUCGUAAAUUAAAACAGAUAAAUUAGCUUGAUUUAACUAUUGAAACUGGGAUUUAGUUCUAUAUUGAUGGAUGACCAUAAAAAGUGCAUGUGAUUCAUAUGUGUUGUCAAAUGUCGAAAGUACCCUUGUCUUCUUCUGUAUUGUCUAUUACAGUGAGAAGUUUGUGAAAUGUUUCUACAUUAUAAAUUUGAGCCUGCUAGCUGCUACCUAUUUUAGUUUUGUGUUUUGGCUAAAGCUCCAAGAAUAAUGAUGUGUUUGGAUGGGCCCAUGGGGUUGAUUAGGGAGGGUGAAAAGAAAGUAAUUAGAAAAUAUGACGAAAAAAUAUAGGGGAAGAUGAAUUUUUUUUUUCCUUUCCUUUUUUGGGUUUGAUAAAUGAAAAGCAAACUAAAUAUUUUUUCAAAAAAAAAAGUCAUUCUUCAUUUAUAAUUAUAAAGGAUUAAAGUUACGAUUAAUAGUUCCGAAACUAUUGUAGUUAAUUUUUUUUAUUUUUUUCUCACUAAAUUUUUAAUUGGAUUUAGCCUAGAUAAAUCGAGUUUGUAUCACAAAUAUUUUGAAGUUAGGGUCAUCGAUGGGUCUGGUCGGGACGGCUCAACCCGUUUUGGGUUGGGCUAGACUCGAUGGGUUUUGACGGUCAACCGGUCAAACUGGGCCUGUCUAUGGGCCAAAAAAUGAGAGUCAAGUUCUGUCCAUGAACCUAAGGAAAAUGGGCUUACGAGUCGGGCCUUUAAAUAAUUUUUUUUAAAUAUAUUUUAUUUUAAAUUAAAAGACUAAAAAUAUCAAAGAUGCCUGAGUUUCGGGUUGGGUAACAACAUCGGACCUUGGAUCAGUCCACGAGCUUCAAAAUUAAACACAGGCCUAGCCCAUUCUAUUCUGAACUUGGACCGAAUUUGGGCUCUCUAGACUAGUAGCCGGGUCAUGAAUUUGCUUUCGAUUGGUAUUCAAACUAAUUUAUCUAUUUUGGUUUUCGAGUUUGAUUCGUGUUUUCGAUGAACUUGGAUUUUACUGUUGGAUCAAGAUUUAUGUGGAGAGGAAUUUAAAAGUAUAUUUAUAAAAAAAAAAUUGUUCUAAAAAAAUAAAUAAUUUUUUUAUAAAAAAUUAAAAAUUAAAAUUUUUAGAUUCCUCUUUUCAAUAACCUGAAAAAAUAUAAAUAAAUUUUGAUAUAUUGAUCGAGCAAAACUCGAAAAUUAAAACAGUUAAAUUAGCCUAUUUAGCUAUUGAAAACUGGGUUAUAUUGAUGGAUGACCAUAAAAAGUGCAUUGUGAUUCAUCAUGUGUGUCAAUGUCGAAAGUCCCUUGUCUCUUAUGUUGUAUUGUCUAUUACAGUGAGAAUUGUUUGGAAUGUUUCACUUUAUAAUUGAGCUGCUACCUAUUUAGUUUUGUGUUUUGGUAAGCUCCAAGUAUAAUGAUGUGUUGGAUGGGCCCAGGGGGUUGGAAUUAGGGAGGGUGAAAAGAAAGUAAUGAGUAACAUAUUGACGACCAAAAUUAGGGGAAGAUGAUUUUUUUUUUUCCUUCCUUUUUUGGUUUGAAUAAAUGAAAAGCAAACUAAAUAUUUUUUCAAAAAAAAAAGUCAUUCUUCAUUUAUAAUUAUAAAGAUUAAGUACGAUCUAAUAGUCCCGAACUAUUGUAUUGUCUAAUUUUUUUUAAUUUUUUUUUCUCACUAAAUUUUUAAUUGUAUUUAGCCUAGAUAAAUCGAGUUUGUAUCACAAAUAUUUUGAAGUUAGGGUCAUCGAUGGGUCUGGUCGAGACGUCUCAACCCGUUUUGGGUUGGGCUGGACUCGAUGGGUUUUGACAGUCAACCGAUCAAACUGGGCUUGUCUAUGGGCCAAAAGAUGAGAGUCAAGCUCCGUCCACGAACCUAAGGAAAAUGGGCUUACGAGUCGGGCCUUUAAAUAAUUUUUUUAAAAUAUAUUUUAUUCUAAAUUAAAAGACUAAAAAUAUCAAAGAUGCCUGAGUUUCGGGUUGGGUAACAACAUCGGACCUUGGAUCAGUCCACGAGCUUCAAAAUUAAACAUAGGCCUAGCCCAUACUAUUCUAGACUUGAACCGAAUUUGGGCUCUCUAGACUAUGACCCGGUUCAUGAAUUUGCUAGAUUGAUUCAACUAAUUAGCUAUUUGGUUUUCGAGUUUGAUUCGUGUUUUCGAUGAACUUGGAUUUUACUGUUGGAUCAAGAUUUAUGUGGAGAGGAAUUUAAAAGUAUAUUUAUAUAAAAAAAUUUGUUCUAAAAAAAUAAAUGAUUUUUUUUAUAAAAAAUAAAAAAUAAAAAAUUUUAGAUUCCUCUUUUCAAUAACCUGAAAAAAAUAUAAAAAUUUUGAUAUCUUGAUCGAGGCCAGUAAUUUAACGAAAUAAAACUGAAAAUUUUACAACAGUUAAUUAGCCUGAUUUAGCUAUGAAAAACUGGGAUUAGUUCAUUAUUGAUGGGACCAUAAAAAGUGCACGUGUUAUCAUGUGUUGUCAAAUGUCGAAAGUACCCUUGUCUUCUUCUGUAUUGUCUAUUACCGUGAGAAUUGUGUGUGAAUGUUCUACAUCUUAUAAUUUGAGCUACUACCUAUUUUAGUUUUGUGUUUUGGCUAAAGCUCCAAGUAUAAUGAUGUGUUUGGAUUGGUGGAUUAGUGAGG
rnacentral:lncRNA from 1 species